rnacentral:rRNA from 1 species
UAGGGAAUCUUCGGCAAUGGGGGGAACCCUGACCGAGCAACGCCGCGUGAGUGAAGAAGGUUUUCGGAUCGUAAAGCUCUGUUGUUAAGGAAGAACGAGUGUGAGAAUGGAAAGUUCAUGCUGUGACGGUACUUAACCAUAAAGGGACUGCUAACUACGUGCCAGCAGCCGCGGUAAUACGUAGGUCCCGAGCGUUGUCCGGAUUUAUUGGGCGUAAAGCGAGCGCAGGAGGUUAGAAAAGUCUGAAGUGAAAGGCAGUGGCUCAACCAUUGUAGGCUUUGGAAACUGUUUAACUUGAGUGCAGAAGGGGAGAGUGGAAUUCCAUGUGUAGCGGUGAAAUGCGUAGAUAUAUGGAGGAACACCGGUGGCGAAAGCGGCUCUCUGGUCUGUAACUGACGCUGAGGCUCGAAAGCGUGGGUAGCAAACAGG